rnacentral:rRNA from 1 species
CCUACGGGCGGCAGCAGUGAGGAAUAUUGGGCAAUGGCCGCAGGGCUGAACCAGCCAAGUCGCGGGAGGGAUGACGGUCCGAUGGAGUGUAAACCUCGGUUGUCAGGGAGCAAAGGGCGCCACGUGUGGCGCUUUGCGAGGACCUGAAGAAAAAGCAUCGGAUAACUCCGUGCCAGCAGCCGCGGUAAUACGGAGGAUGCGAGCGUUAUCCGGAUUUAUUGGGUUGAAAGGGGGAGUAGGCGGAAUGUGAAGGCAGCGGUAAAAUUUCGGGGCUCAACCCCGUCGUGCCGUUGAAACUGGCGUUCUUGAGUGGGCGAGAAGUAUGCGGAAUGCGUGGUGUAGCGGUGAAAUGCAUAGAUAUCACGCAGAACUCCGAUUGCGAAGGCAGCAUACCGGCGCUCAACUGACGCUCAUGCACGAAAGCGUGGGUAUCGAACAGGAUUAGAUACCCCAGUAGUC